CCUACGGGUGGCAGCAGUGAGGAAUAUUGGUCAAUGGACGCGAGUCUGAACCAGCCAAGUAGCGUGAAGGAUGACUGCCCUAUGGGUUGAAACCUUCUUUUAUAAAGGCAUAAAACGAGACACGUGUGCCUUUUUACGUGUACUUUAUGAAUAAGGCUCGGCUAACUCCGUGCCAGCAGCCGCGUUAAUACGGCGGGUCCGAGCGUUAUCCGGGUUUAUUGGGUUUAAAGGGAACGUAGAUGGGUUGUUAAGUCAGAUGUGAAAGUUUGCGGCUCAACCGUAAAAUUGCAAUUGAGACUGGCAGUCUUGAGUACAGUGGAGGUAAGCGGAAUUCGUGGUGUAGCGGUGAAAUGCGUAGAUAUCACGAAGAACCCCGAUUGCGAAGGCAGCUUACUAAACUGUGACUGACAUUGAUGCUCGAAAGUGUGGGGAUCAAACAGGAUUAGAUACCCCUGUAGUC
rnacentral:rRNA from 1 species